GACGAACGCUGGCGGCGUGCUUAACACAUGCAAGUCGAGCGGAAAGGCCCUUCGGGGUACUCGAGCGGCGAACGGGUGAGUAACACGUGAGUAACCUGCCCCAGACUUUGGGAUAACCCCCGGAAACGGGGGCUAAUACCGGAUACGACACAGCUUCGCAUGGGGUCUGUGUGGAAAGUUUUUCGGUUUGGGAUGGGCUCGCGGCCUAUCAGCUUGUUGGUGGGGUGAUGGCCUACCAAGGCGACGACGGGUAGCCGGCCUGAGAGGGCGACCGGCCACACUGGGACUGAGACACGGCCCAGACUCCUACGGGAGGCAGAAGUGGGGAAUAUUGCACAAUGGGCGGAAGCCUGAUGCAGCGACGCCGCGUGAGGGAUGACGGCCUUCGGGUUGUAAACCUCUUUCAGCAGGGACGAAGCGUAAGUGACGGUACCUGCAGAAGAAGCGCCGGCCAACUACGUG
rnacentral:rRNA from 1 species